ensembl:lncRNA LINC00847 long intergenic non-protein coding RNA 847
GGGAGAAGAGGGGCCGUGGCGCCAUCGCGCAGCUUCCUGGUUUCGGCCAUGUUUUUUUUUUUUUGAGACGGAGUUUCGCUCUUUUUGCCCAGGCUGGAGGGCAAUGGCGCCGUCUCGGCUCCCUGCAGCCGCCGCCUCCCGGGUUGAAGGGACUCUCCGGCCUCAGGCCGCGGUGUUCUUGUAAAUUAGAACCGGCCUAUGCGCCAAGCGCGGGUCUCGCGGCUGCGGAGAGAGGCCCAGCAGGGGGCGGGGACGCCGGGAGGCGGGGCCUGGCCGAGCUGCGCACACCCGGGUGGUUCUGGCUACGGGUACCCGGACCUGCCCAACGACCGUUCUCCAUUCCCGACCUCCGCACCCUACCCGGUCCGCAGGGCACCUUCCUCCUCUCUCUCAGGCACGUCCUCGACCUCAGUUGCCACGUGCACAUGCUGGUGCCUUCCAGGCUGGAGUAUAGUGGCAUGAUCAUAGAUCACUGCAGCCUCAAACUCCUGGGCUCAAGCGAUCCUCCCACCUCAGCCUCCAUAUAGCUGGUGGGGACCAAGUUUCUAACACAUGAAUGUUGGGAGACACAUUCAGACCAUCGCAGUGGCCUUAUAAAAAGAGACACAAGAGCUUGCUCUCUGCCAUGUGAGAAUACCACAAGAAGACUGUCCUCAGCAAAUCAGAAAGCGGGUGGACCCUCAUCAGACACCAGAUGUGCCUGCACCUUGAUCUUGGACUUGCCAGCCUUCAGAACAGUAAGAAAGAAAUGUGUGUUGUUUAAGCCACCCAGUCUAUGGUAACUUGCUAUAGCAGCCCACUAGGAGACCCCAAGAUAUUUAAAAACUCAUCAGCACCUGCUUUCUGCAUCUGGACCCUGAUCUUCUGGUGGGUUUACCAGUUACUUGUAGAGUGUCCCUGUGAUAGUUUUAGGUGUCAACUUGACAGGAUUGAGGGAUGCCUAGAUGGCUGGGGAAGCACUGUUUCUGAGAAGGACCAUGUUUUUGGAGGAGACUGUUUUAUGAGUGAAUUUCAGGGGACACAUUCAGAUCAUGGCAGUGGCAUUAUAAAGAGAGACACAAAAGCUUGCUCUCUCUCUCUGCCAUGUAAGACUACCACACAAAGACUGCCAUCUGCAAACCAGAAGCAGGUGGGCUUUCCUCAGACACCAGAUCUGCCUGCACCUUGAUCUUGGACUUGCCAGCCUUCAGAACUCUAAGAAAGAAAUGGUAGCAUGGCUUGGUCUAAGUUGGAAGGCCUGAGAAACAAGCACAUGGUGGAACUGAGUUCAAGGAUAAAGACUUGAGAAUACCUGCUCAGUGGACUGAGUAGGGAAGAUCAACCCUCAAUGUAGGCAGGCACUAUCCAAUCACCUGAGGGCCCAGAUGGAACAAAAAGGUGGAAGAAGGGUGAAUUCUCUCUUCCAGAGCUGUGACACCCUUCUCAUGCCCUUGUACCACACAACUCUAGGUCCUUUGGCCUUUGGACUCUGACACUUGCACCAGUGGCCCUCUGGGGCUCUCAAGCCUUUAGCCUUGAACUUAGUUACACCAUGUGCCUCCUUGUUUCUCAGGCCUUCCAACUUGGAUCAGGCCAUGCCACCGGCUUCUCUGAUUCUCCAGCUUGCAGAUGGUAUAUUGUGACCCUGGCAUUUAAUAACUAUGACUUUGGUCUUAAGCAAUUUUCUUCCUCUGUGGAUUGAUAUUUACAUAUCAAUGUGGAUAAUAAUUUCUUACCACGGUAACUGUUGUGAGGUAAAAAUGAGUUAACAUAAGUAAAACCGAGCACAUGCAAACCAUCCGAAAUGGUUAAUACUUACUAUUUGUACUU